ACCAGAUGAAGAAAUAUUGCGCAUGGUCAGGCUCUCACAUUCGGUGUUUUGGAGACCGAGAGAGCAGACUUGGAUGGUUUGGACACAUCCAGAGGAGAGAGAGUGAGGAUGUUGCUCGAAGGGUGAUGAGGAGGGAGCUGCCGGCCAAGAGAAAUAAAAGAAGACCAGAGAGAAGGUUUAUCGAUGUUGCGAGGGAAGACACGAGGGCAGUUGGCGUUAGAGAGGAGGACGCAGGAGAUAGGCUCUCACAUCAGAUCUUCUAACAUCUCGGACAUCCGAUAUCAGAUGCUGAAGCCACGCGAGUGUCCCGUUCUCCACAGGUGCGGGGCCGUGACCUCUGGGCAUGACCCUCAAAUAUCUCAGACACCCGAUGUCACGUACUGAAGCCACCUGUCUUGACAAAAUCCGUGGGACACGGUCACACCCACCAUCGACGCGGGGCGAGGCCGAAGGACCGCAUUCACAGGUGUCCCCGAACAUGAUGUCAUGCGACAAAAACGCGAGGGACCAUGAUGUCACAUCGGAUGUGACGUCAAUGGGGACAGGUGGCCCGAGAGGUGACGUCAUCGGACACGUCCGCUGGCAGUGUGCCAA